AAACUAAAUGGAACAUAUUUGUACUUAAUCAUGUGCAUGAUUUGGCGCUUCAUUGUGAGAACAAACAAUACAAUCCAAUAGCAGAGUAAUAUGGGCCAGAAGACAGGAACAUCAAACACAGAAAAAAAGGUCAUUAGAAAGGCCACACAGAAAGCCUUGGUGAUGGAAUACCAGAACUUAAACUCAGGAAGGCGGCGAACGAAAGGCUUGAACUCAUCAGAUCCUUUUGUUGGCAAAGAAGCUCCAUCCAAGACUUCAAGUUCAGGAUCAACCUUUGGCGACAGAAACCCAAUCAACAAAUUCAAGAUAUAAAUUCCGAGACCAUAUGACACAAUGUAAAAACCUUGAACAUAGUAAACUCGCAACAUAUAAAUUGCCGCAGCUGCAAGAGUUCCCAGCCACCUUUGCAUUGUAUGAGGUGUUGAUCGAUCCAGAUAGUACUGGAAUGCCCUUGAGAAAUCAUUUCUCCACUUGGCAAGAGGUGCCACAGUGGAGGCAGCAUGACCUCCAGCUCCUUCCAUUAAUUAUUACCUUCUAAUUCUCCUUAAAGAAACGUCGCAGUCAGAGCAGGUCCCAGCACCGUACAGAUCCGAUAAAGCUAUAUAAAUGGUAAAGGAAUCUAUAUGGGUACCCAAGGCAAUCGAUCUCUUGUUUCUUGCUUCUCUUUCUUCUAGAUUUCUUGUUUAAUGCUAGAAAUUUUGCAGGUUAAUGCCAUCGUCGUAGCAUAUAAUGUCUCUCCUUGCUGAGUGACGCGUAUCUAUUUUUACCCGUCAAACCUUGAUAAUUCCCCAUUUUGCCCCCCCAUUUCUCUUGAAAAUUCCACCCUAUCCCCGG
rnacentral:misc_RNA from 1 species